rnacentral:lncRNA from 1 species
AACCUUGUGUGUUUUAACUAUUAUGACGUAUUUCAAAGCCUUCCUCAUAUGGGUUGUCUUUAUUUUGAAUAUAUAUUUUUAUAAGCAAAGAAUAACAAACAUUGUUUCGCAAACUGCUUGCACUCAUCCCGGAAAAUGCUAAUAGCAAAAUACCUCUCGGAGUCACAUACGAACCCAGCCCGGAAAUACACACUAAAUUGCCUUUUACGGAGGAAGUCUUUAAAUAAACAGAAGGAAGUUAACUAAGGAGACUAGAAUGCUUU